rnacentral:rRNA from 1 species
UACGUAGGGUGCAAGCGUUGUCCGGAAUUAUUGGGCGUAAAGAGCUCGUAGGCGGUCUGUCGCGUCUGCUGUGAAAACUCAGGGCUUAACCCUGAGCUUGCAGUGGGUACGGGCAGACUAGAGUGCGGUAGGGGAGACUGGAAUUCCCGGUGUAGUGGUGAAAUGCGCAGAUAUCAGGAGGAACACCGGUGGCGAAGGCGGGUCUCUGGGCCGAAACUGACGCUGAGGAGCGAAAGCGUGGGGAGCGAACAGG